AACUUCGGUUAUAAGAUCCCUUAAAGAUGAUGAGGUUAAUAGGUUCGAGGUGGAAGCAUGGUGACAUGUGUAGCUGACGAAUACUAAUCGAUCGAAGACUUAAUCAAA
rnacentral:rRNA from 1 species